AAAUAUUGAAAGUAAGGACCUACCCUAGUCGCUUUUGGCAAAAACAAACCCCUCUGGCCAGAAAGUUGCAUGUCUAGGUGUUGGUGGAAUAGUACCACCAGUCGGUUAAGUCUUGUUGAGCGUAGUCGCUCAGCCUUAUUGUGGCAUAUCUCUUUCAGGUGAUGUUGAUGCCUCUGAGCUUGUUGCAAGUGGCACUUGGCCUCCCCAGUUUCCUCCUGGUUGGACGGUUGAGUGGGA
rnacentral:lncRNA from 1 species